UAUAUUUAGUGGCACAUCAAAAACCAUAUAUAUAUUUUUAAACCAAUUCUAAUUAAAUGCUCAUAUAACUGUUUAUGAUAUUUUUUCCCACAUCUGUUUGUUCAUAAAUAUAUGAUUUUUAGUAUAAUAAUUAAUAGUGAAAGCGAGUAUAUUAAUCAAUCUUUCAUUGACUAUACACACGCAUUUGAGUGUGAUUGAGCAUAGCAUCAAAUGCUAAUAAUGACUUCUCACAUUUAUGGAUACUUCAAUUUUUUUGGAGAUUGAAUUGAAUGGUUCGCAUGAGGUGUUUAUCAAGAAAUGAGUAGUUUUUGGAAUCUAUUAAUUGUCCUUUCUUCUCCUUUUUCUCUUUCAAUUAAAGCAUCUACUUGAUAGUUGACCUUAUUGAUGUUUUCUUUCUCUAUAUAUCAUCAAUUAGAUGUAUUUGAACCUUUCAACUGAUCAUAUAGUCGCAUGGAACAUUCAUUCAUAUUUAAGUACACUUCCAUGUUCCGAGAAUCAUAAAUGACUUGAUCAGGGUCAUUCAGUAUCUAAGGCGUUUCGGGAUGAUCAGAUGCUAAGGUGAAUGUUGUCUGGCCCAAAAUCUUUCAUGAAAUCAAGAUUUCAAAUGAAUUUGAAAGAUUUCGGACCAGGCUUCAUUCCCCUUAACUGGUUUUCUAUGUGGAUGUGACCUCAUCCAUACUUUGGCUACAUACAGGGAGACAACAUAGGACCUACAGCUAGGGUUAACUUGGGCUCCGAAUCGGAUCAUUUGUUAGCCCAUGAAAGUCUAAAUGGGGCAACGAAUAAUGAGCCAACUCGUCUCUCUUCUUGCGUCCAUGGAUAUGGAACACCACAGCCUCCUCUCUUCUAUAUCUUCAUCUCCGACUUCACAGAGCACCGGCGACGCCCUAGCACAUCCGGCCAACGUCGUACAGCACCCCAGAGCCGACGUCGCAGGCUAUCUCUUAUGAAAUCGGUAUUUCUCUCUCACAAUGUGACGUUUUCUUUUAAUUUUCUUGCUGAAAUCGAUGCUAAUGUUGGUGAAAUCGGUACCAAAUUCGAUAAGGAAAUGGGCGCUAAAGCAACUCAAGGUUUCUACAUUACUAUUGUUGUUCUCUCUUUUAGUUUUAAUUGAGAUAGGAAAGUCAAUUCACAUACAGUUUAAAUUGUUUGCUGCAAAAUUGUUACCCUUAUUUGUCUGGACAUAUGGCAAAGUUUUGUAUGAUCCGUGAUUUAGGCAUGAUCAACAUGAUUACCGGGUUUUUUA